AACGAACGCUGGCGGCAUGCCUAACACAUGCAAGUCGAACGAUGGUCUUCGGAUCAUAGUGGCGCACGGGUGCGUAACGCGUGGGAAUCUGCCCUUGGGUUCGGAAUAACAGUUGGAAACGACUGCUAAUACCGGAUGAUGUCGAUAAGACCAAAGAUUUAUCGCCCGAGGAUGAGCCCGCGUCGGAUUAGCUAGUUGGUGGGGUAAAGGCCUACCAAGGCGACGAUCCGUAGCUGGUUUGGGAGGAUGAUCAGCCACACUGGGACUGAGACACGGCCCAGACUCCUACGGGAGGCAGCAGUGGGGAAUAUUGGACAAUGGGCGCAAGCCUGAUCCAGCAAUGCCGCGUGAGUGAUGAAGGCCUUAGGGUUGUAAAGCUCUUUUACCCGGGAAGAUAAUGACUGUACCGGGAGAAUAAGCCCCGGCUAACUCCGUG
rnacentral:rRNA from 1 species